rnacentral:rRNA from 1 species
GCUCAGAAUGAACGCUGGCGGCGUGGAUGAUACAUGCAAGUCGAACGGGAACGUUUCCUUCGGGGAACUAGUACAGUGGCGGACGGGUGAGUAACGCGUGAUCAACCUGCCCUUGGGAGGGGGAUAGCUAUCCGAAAGGAUAGGUAAUACCCCAUAAGACUACGGCAUCGCAUGGUGCUGCGGUCAAAGAGUUGGGAUCUUCGGACCUUCUGCCCGAGGAUGGGAUCGCGUCCUAUUAGCUUGUUGGUGGGGUAACGGCCUACCAAGGCGAUGAUGGGUAGCCGGCCUGAGAGGGUGGUCGGCCACACUGGGACUGAGACACGGCCCAGACUCCUACGGGAGGCAGCAGUGCUGAAUCAUUCGCCAAUGCGCGAAAGCGUGACGGUGCGACGCCGCGUGCGGGAUGAAGGCCUUCGGGUUGUAAACCGCUGUCAGGGUCUAGGAAACCGCCGACGUGAAUAGCGGCGGCGCUGACCAGGCCCAAAGGAAGUGCAGGCUAACCUCGUGCCAGCAGCCGCGGUAAGACGAGGUGCACAAGCGUUGUUCGGAAUCACUGGGCAUAAAGAGUGCGUAGGCGGUCUGGUAAGUCGGGUGUGAAAGCCCUCGGCUCAACCGGGGAAUUGCUUCCGAUACUGCCAGACUUGAGAGCGAAAGGGGCAAGCGGAAUUCCAGGUGUAGCGGUGGAAUGCGUAGAUCUCUGGGAGAACGCCGAAGGCCAAGGCAGCUUGCUGGGUCGCAUCUGACGCUGAGGCACGAAAGCUAGGGGAGCGAACAGGAUUAGAUACCCUGGUAGUCCUAGCUGUUAACGAUGGGCACUUUGCUUUGGGGGACCUGAUUCCCUCAGGGCCGGAGCUAACGCGUUAAGUGCCCCGCCUGGGGAGUAUGGUCGCAAGGCUAAAACUCAAAGGAAUUGACGGGGGCUCACACAAGCGGUGGAGCAUGUUGUUCAAUUCGAAGCAACGCGAAGAACCUUACCUGGGCUUGACAUGCUAGUGCGUACAAACCCGAAAGGGGGCGGACCUCUUAACCGAGGAGCUAGCACAGGUGCUGCAUGGCUGUCGUCAGCUCGUGUCGUGAGACGUUGGGUUAAGUCCCGUAACGAACGAAACCCUUGUCGCUUGUUGCUAC